GGGGUAAUGAUUGGUGCUAUCACGAGUGGGCAGAUUGCUGAUUUUAUUGGUCGAAAAGGGGCCAUGGGGAUGUCAUCCAUGAUCUAUCUAGCAGGAUGGCUCACAGUCUACUUAUCUUUUGUAGGAUAUCUCCAAUUUUCAAUUAUAAUUUUGAUAUAUUUGUAUAUGUUUUUCUUCAUGUUUUACCCUCUGGAUGUUUCAAUGUAGGGAUCUUUUUCCCUUUAUUUUGGGAGAUUUCUUCGUCUUAUAUGGAAUUGGUGUUCUUUCUUAUGUGGUACCAGUCUUCAUUGCUGAAAUAACACCUAAGAAUCUUUAAGGAGCACUAGCAACAGCAA